rnacentral:rRNA from 1 species
GUGAUCCCCCACACGGGUACUGAGACACGGACCCGACUCCUACGGGAGGCAGCAGUAAGGAAUAUUGGACAAUGGAGGCAACUCUGAUCCAGCCAUCCCGCGUGUAGGAAGACUGCCCUAUGGGUUGUAAACUACUUUUAGACAGGAAGAACGGCAGGCAUUUAUGUUUGUGUGACGGUACUGUCAGAAUAAGCACCGGCUAACUCCGUGCCAG